rnacentral:rRNA from 1 species
AUUGAACGCUGGCGGUAGGCCUAACACAUGCAAGUCGAACGCGAAAGUCCUUCGGGAUGAGUAGAGUGGCGGGCGGGUGAGUAACGCGUAGGAAGCUAUCCUGUAGUGGGGGAUAACGUUUCGAAAGGAACGCUAAUAACGCAUACGCCCCAAGGGGGAAAGCGGGGGGUCUUCGGACGUCGUGCUAUAGGAGGAGCCUGCGUCGGAUUCGCUAGUUGGUGAGGGAAAGGCUCACCAAGGCGACGAUCCGUAGCUGGUCUGAGAGGAUGAUCAGCCACACCGGAACUGAGACACGGUCCGGACUCCUACGGGAGGCAGCAGUGGGGAAUAUUGCGCAAUGGGCGAAAGCCUGACGCAGCCAUACCGCGUGUGUGAAGAAGGCCUUCGGGUUGUAAAGCACUUUCAGUGGGGAGGAAAAGCUGGUGGCUAAUAUCCAUCGGCCGUGACGCUACCCACAGAAGAAGCACCGGCUAAUUCCGUGCCAGCCGCCGCGGUAAUAC